AGGAGGGUUGGGCAGGGCAGUGUGGACCUCGCCGCUUCCACAGCGAUGCUGGCUACUGAUCGCAGGCACCUCCUUGCCAUGGGAAGGAAAUUAAUGUUAUGACUGGAUAAAUUCGAGGUUGUCUAUCUCCGUUUUCUGAUGGAAAAGCGUGGAGUUCAGAAGCAUUGCUCGCUCCUUCAGUUUCUAACAAGCCAGGUCUUGGAGAGACCAGGAAGCCAAGAGUUUCCUCCAAGAAUGGAGAUUCCUUGGGAGCGAUGUUUGCCUUGAGUAAAGAAAGAUGAAUCACAUGUGGUCAAAGGCAGUUGUCCAGGGUCUCAAGAAAAGAGCCAGAAAGAGGAGCUGGGGCUGCUGGGAUUGUGGGGGUCCUCUCUCCCACCUAAAAAGCUACUACUGCCUGCUGACCCUCUGAAGAGGAGACCCCUCUGGGCUCCAGCACCUAAAACAGACAAAACUGGGAGGAUGGUUCUCUCUUCUGUGUCACACAUGUCCUAGAGAAAACCUGUGUAUCUAAAUGACCAAAGAAAACGAUGAGAAAAAAUGCAAAAUCUGUGCCAGGUCAUUCAGUGUCUGGCUAGGGCUGUGUGGUGCACAUGCAUUCCAAGACUGAAGGGUGCUGAGCCUGCAGAAAAUGUCUGUCAGACCUGCCUCUCACACCUGGAGUAUGACUGCCCAUCCAGGUUCAUGAUGCAGAACUGUCUUUAAAAGGCCACAGCAGAUAUGGAGAGAGGGAUUUCUAACCCUAAUAGAAUAUGACCAGCUGUCCCGCUGGGGAAAGCCGCAUGCACCAGUGAUGUGCUGCCUAAACUGGCCCAGACCACACUCUACUGCCUAAUGAAUAAGCCCCACAUUUGCUCUUUAUGGGUAAAGGGAGAGGGUGAGAGAGGAGAGGAGUGUCUGCACAGACAUGAGAAGCCUGCAGAUCCAGAUGACCCCCUUGCUGAUCAGAAUAUUAAAAAUCGAUAUGCGGAAACAAUGACCCCAUAGCAGAUAAGCUUCUAGAGCAGGCUUCAACCAUGCUUCAUCUGGACCCACUGGAAGAGAAGUGUGCCCGCCAUCUAUGUUGAUGGUCUGGGGGAUACCAUUUCUGAGACAGAUUUAAGAAAUGGUCUCUACCUGUUGGCGAGAUCCGGAUGGUCACUGUUGUGCAGAGACAGCAGUGUGCUCUCAUCAGCUUUCCACAGGGCAGGCUAUGGAAAUGGCCACUGAGAAGUCCUUUUGUAAAUUGAUUGUCCAUGGCUGCAGACUCACCGUCAAAUGGGGGAAGAUUCCAAGCCCUCAAGGAAAAGGAGAAAGAGAAGCACAGAACGGCAGACUCUGGGAUCCUGCCAGAGCCUAUUUCAGGGCCGCCAGGAGGUCCUCCUCCUGCUGCAGCUCUGGUCCCCACCUUGGAGCCUCCUUCGAAGGAGUGAGACUACCUUUCUGACUUUUUCUGACCAUAGACACCUUUUCUGACUAUUUCUGUCCUUUGGACCUGCCGAGGACAGCAGCCCCAGGGACCCGGGCUCCUGGGCCCAUUCUUCACCAGCUUCUACUUGAUCGUGCAAUUUGAAGUCAUUCUUGUGCAGUGGAAACAGGGCCCCAGGACAACCCGAUAGAUCAAUGGUCUCUGGCCUGUGCCCCACUGAUGGUUGGAUGGUGGCCACAGGGUGCUGGAGUCCAGCCAUCGCUGCUUCCUUGAGUUGAAGAGGUUGGAGGCUGGUCCACUUGCUCCUGUCCUGCCCUCAGCGAUGUGGAUGGUUGCUCUUUGAGCCUGGUAACAUCACUGGCUUGGCCCUGCCAGGCAUGCCCUGCCUUGUGGGGGCCCUGUGUACCCACACACUGCUUUAAGGGGCUUGCCCUUCCCUGGGCCAAAUUCUAGUUUUGGCCAGUGCCCCAGGAA
rnacentral:lncRNA from 1 species